CCUACGGGUGGCAGCAGUGGGGGAUAUUGCACAAUGGGCGCAAGCCUGAUGCAGCGACACCGCGUGAGCGAAGAAGUAUUUCGGUAUGUAAAGCUCUAUCAGCAGGGAAGAAAAUGACGGUACCUGACUAAGAAGCCCCGGCUAACUACGUGCCAGCAGCCACGGUAAUACGUAGGGGGCUAGCGUUAUCCGGAAUUACUGGGCGUAAAGGGUGCGUAGGUGGUUUCUUAAGUCAGAGGUGAAGGGCUACGGCUCAACCGUAGUAAGCCUUUGAAACUGGGGAACUUGAGUGCAGGAGAGGAGAGUGGAAUUCCUAGUGUAGCGGUGAAAUGCGUAGAUAUUAGGAGGAACACCAGUUGCGAAGGCGGCUCUCUGGACUAUAACUGACACUGAGGCACGAAAGCGUGGGGAGCAAACAGGAUUAGAUACCCUUGUAGUC
rnacentral:rRNA from 1 species